AACAGACCAGGAAGGCAGCAGCCCUGCCCACCAGGAGCCAGCUAUCACAGACACUGGCAGCUGGCUCAGCUCUGCAGCCUCUACAGGAAGCUGGUUUUGAAGAAUCCAGAUGAAAAUGUUGUCUUCUCCCCAUUCAGCAUCUCAGCGGCCUUGGCCCUGCUGUCCCUGGGAGCAAAGAGCAACACCCUGAAGGAAAUCCUAGAAGGUCUCAAGUUCAACCUCACAGAGACCCCUGAACCAGACAUCCACCAGGGCUUUAGGUACUUGCUAGACUUCUCAGUCAGCCAGGGGACCAGGUACAGAUCAGCACAGGCAGUGCCCUGUUUAUUGAAAAGCACCUACAGAUCCUGGCAGAGUUCAAGGAGAAGGCAAGGGCUCUGUACCAGGCUGAGGCCUUCACAGCAGAUUUCCUGCAGCCUCGCCAGGCCACAAAGCUCAUCAAUGACUAUGUGAGCAAUCAGACCCAGGGGAAGAUCAAGGAACUCAUCUCAGACCUGGAUAAGAGCACGUUGAUGGUGCUGGUGAAUUACAUCUACUUUAAAGGCAAAUGGAAGAUGCCCUUUGACCCCCAUGACACAUUUAAUUCCGUGUUCUACUUGGAUGAGAAGAGGUCUGUGAAUGUGUCCAUGAUGAAAAUUGAGGAAUUGACCACACCCUACUUCCGGGAUGAUGAGCUGUCCUGCACUGUGGUGGAGCUGAAGUACACCGGAAAUGCAAGUGCUAUGUUCAUCCUCCCUGACCAGGGCAGGAUGCAGCAGGUCGAAGCCAGCUUACAACCAGAGACCCUGAGGAAGUGGAAGAACUCUCUGAAGCCCAGGAGGAUAGAUGAGCUCCACCUGCCCAAGUUCUCCAUCUCCAUGGACAACAGCCUGGAGCACAUCCUUCCUGAGCUGGGCAUCAGGGAGCUCUUCUCCACACAGGCUGACCUGUCUGCAAUCACAGGAACCAAGGACCUGAGAGUCUCUCAGGUAAAGCAAGAAAUGUGGGAUGGUUCAUCUUGGUCAUGAAUGUGGAUGUUUAAGGGCAUGUGGGCAUGUGGGAUUGGCACAUGUGUGACAAGACCUGUAUUUCUGUUUGCCUCAUGGUGGGGAGAGCUUAAUCCCACCCUAGAUACACCUACAGAGAUGAUGCAGCCAGUCCCUAUUUUGAUCCUUGCACUAAACCUCACCAAGGAACCCAUGGUGAGGAAGUGCCUAUGCUUGGUGUUAGAUCACAUGGGUACCAACCUGUGCUACACUGUAGGUGCCACUCACAAUCCACUGCAGGCACAAAGCAUGCCCAGCCUCAACUUCACUGCAGCAGCCUGGACUUCCUCUCUAGCACAUAGAAUAGCAGCAUUAAACAUAAGAAACAUAAUAAAAAACGGUGGCAUUGCCUA
rnacentral:lncRNA from 1 species